rnacentral:lncRNA from 1 species
AGAGCUGGACAGCAUCUCCACCAGGGAGUAUCAGCUACAAGAUGUAGCAGGCCCUUCAUAGCUGUUUUUUUGUUUUUUUGUUUUUUUCAAAUGAAAAUCUGAACGUAGAGAGAGUUCAGAGUUCUCCAGAAAUAGGAUUCGAGAUAGCCGCCUGAGAGUUACAGGAAACCUAGAUGGUCUGUGUCUACUCAUAGAAGAUCAGCUUUACCCGAAAAAUGGUUAGUUUCCCCUGGGAAUUUCAGGUCUGGGGGUGGCUUGGCAAUGUAGAGGUUCCUGGGGACUUUUGAUUCCAUCUCAAUAAUUCCGUUUUUCUUGUUUUAGGAACACCAGUAAAAUUUCACGAAUCACAUGAAGUUUUGAGAUAAGGUUCAACUACAUUUUGGAGAAUGUUUUGAGCAAAUAAAUUGUUUGCUGCUCCUGAAAGGGCACAGACUUCUUCCAUUAGUAAUUUGUAUGAAUCACUUUUUAAUAAAUGAGAAGAUGGUUUUGUGCCCACGAUAAGGGCACAUUUUGUUCUUUUAAUACAAGAUAUGUUUUAAAAGAAAAACGAAAGUAAAACAUUGAGCAGGCAAAUGUCCAAAAAUAUUUUAAGAAUUAUAAAUUUCCAUGACCCAAAGUUUUUUCCCUUAUUUCAGAACUUUGUCCAAGAUUAUUAAGAGAGAGCUUUGGUUAGCCAAAAGGAGGAGGUAUAUUUUAAUGUCCCAGGAAGUAUAUAUUGUAUAGCUGCUACUCAAACUGGUAAUUUGAAGCAAUCAAAAUGAAGCCCCCUAUCAUGACAGUGUGAUUAACACAGAGCCUAGGGAAAGCCUGCAUGAGAAUGCAACUUCUCCUUCUUGAUGAACGUAUUUCUAAAAGGCUUAGGAGUGAUUUCAAAAAGUUCUCCAUGCCCUUGCUGACCAAAGAACUAAUCUUUGAUGGUCUGAGAAUCCGAGAGAGUUUUUCCUCCUGUGUGAAACAUUGGCCCUACUUUUUUAGGAAAUUAUAACAGGACUAAGACAGAGAAGUCACGCUUGCUCUUAUGUACCUGUGACCACAAGUGGCCCAUUAUUUCCAGUUGGAUCGUUUUGGUAGGAUCUAGUCACUCGUCCCCAUCUCAAUGCAACAUGGCUGGGCAAUGUGGUUUGGCUCUGUGCCCAAGAAGAGCUUGGUCUCCUUGAAGGUGGUCUUGAGUCUUAGGCCUCUUCGAAGUCUCAACUCACUUGUGCAUGGUUCACAGUCCACAUUUCAUGCAUGAAUAAAUGGAUACACAGACAUAAAGGAAGUGGGAAUAAAGCCUUUGUUGUUGUUGCUGCUGCUGCUGGUUUGUUUUUUGCUGGGGGCUCUUGGAGGAGAGAAUGAUGAUUGAAGAUUUAGAACAUACUGAGUUUUCAGUAAUGUUAAAAUGCUCUAAUAGAACCAGACCUUAAAAUAUUAGGUAAGAGUAUAGCAUUGGAGAUUAAGGUUGUUUUUUUGGCUCUUUAUGGCCGCUCCUGUGGCAUAUGGAGGUUCCCAGGCUAGGGGUCUCAUUGGAGCUGUAGCCGAUGGCCUACACCACAGCUACAGCAACACAAGAUCCGAGCAGCAUCUGCGACCUACACCACAGCUCACAACAGUGGUGGAUUCUUAACCGACUGAGCAAGGCCAGGGAUCGAACCUGUGUCCCCAUGGAUGCUAGUCAGAUUCAUUUCCAUUGAGCCACGACGGGAACUCCCUGGAGAUGAAGCUUUGAAGGCGAUUAUCAGUUGAGUGGAUUUCACUGCCGUAUCCCUGGAGCGCAGUUCAGAACCUGGCCCAGAAUAGAUGUUUCAUAAUAUUUUGUCGAAUGCAUGGAUCAAUGUAUGUUUCAUUAUUAGAAACGAGGAAAGAGUAGUUUUCCCUUUCUGUAGGAUGGAAAGAAAACCAAUGCUAAUAUAUUUGUAUAUCGGUUAGCUUUUGAUGCAUAAUAAACCACCCCAAACCUCAGUGGGUUCAAAAAAAUAAACAUUUAUCUUUGGUCACAUACCAGUGAGUCAGCUGAGUGGUCCUUUUGGUCUUGACCUGGGCUGUCUCAUGGAUCACAGUCAAUUGCGGGUCCUCUACGUGCCUCUGCUGAUCUUGGCUGCCUCUCUCCUAUGUUUAAAAAAGUUGGCUGGCCUGGGUUGGUGGUGGUGAGGUAACUGGGCUCUUUAUGUAUGGUUUGCAUCAGACUCUUCUGGGCUUUUCUGGGCAUGUGGCAAGGAUGCAUGAGAGAGAGUAGACGCAUUCGAGACCUGUUAAGGUUUAGGUUCAACACUGAAGUCUCAUCACUUCUUCCACUGCCUCUUAGCCAAGACAACGUACAGCACCAGCUCAUAUUCAAGGGUGGGGAGAGAGGCCCAAUUCUUGUGGCAAAGGUUGCAAAGUCACACUUCAAAUCAUGUGGCUCUGGAGAGUCUAUUAAUUGGCAUCAUCAAAUAAAAUAAAUCUGUCGCGAUGUAGACGGAAGUUACUGCAUAGCAUGGAAAGAGGGAACACUCAUUUUGGGUGUGUUCACUUUUGAGCAUCAUCGUCUCCAGGAUAAUAGGUGGGAUUCUUAGAAUAAUUUCAAGGCUAUUGUUAUUAUUAUUGAUCCAUAAAGAAUAAUUUAAAGUUCUAGUGUAUUCCCUGCACUUUAAUUAUCUCUCAGACUAAACUAAUCUUAAAUCCAGGCUCAACCAUUUUCAUGUCAUGGUAUGUAGAGGAAAUAACGGUAGUUUUGUGGCAUAUUGGAGUAAAAGGACCAGGCUGCUUGUGGUUGGAGGGGACUAGCCUUGGGGGCUCUGGCUACCCCAGGUCCAAUUGGCUGGGCUGAAGGCUCCCCAGCUCUGUGCUUCUGUAGCCCGGCAGCGGGGGGAUGGGGGGGGGGGCUGGUUAGGAUAUUCUGUAGUGGCCCAAAAUAAUAAUGAGUACAGUGGCUCUCACCAUUUAUUUGCAGAAUCCAGCAUAGAAGACAGGCUUCUUGAGUCAGUCCCACGUACUUUGCAUAAAUCCGUGUGGUCUUUAAAGGUAUACCUCCCCUCGACACAUUUAUCAAGUACCCAGUCUUUGUCUUGACAUGUGCAAGGUGCUGAGGGAAAUGCAGAGAACAGGUAGGGCCUGGUCUUAUCCUGGCUGGGUUAGGGAAGGAACUCUCACCCACCUGUUUGGAUCUCUUCUCUGGCCCAGUGUCAAGUCUGACACAAUGUAAUGAGGCAAGUGCCAGUUGUUUCUGGAACUGCAAGCUUUGCAGAGGCUUCCUCCUUUGUUGUAGUAACCGCAUUUCGACACAAGGUAUUCCGCAGAAGUGCAGGAAAAACAUUCCGUUUUCUUAGGAAUCCCUGACAGUUUCCCCAACAGGAAAGUUUUUGUCCAGCAUGACGUUCAUGCACUUGGAACACAGGUAAACAGGUGUGCAAGGGCCUCUCAGCGGUGUCUUUUGUGAGUCCGAUGGAGAGCGUCUCCAUCAAUAGGAGGCAGGAUGAGGCUUGGGUAGCCCAAUGCAGGAGAUCCUCUGGUUGUGCUACUUUUGCGUUAUUUUUAUAUGUUCAUUUCCUGCAGCAACAUUUCUACUAAAUAUUUACCGGUUUAUUGUGAGGGGAGAUCACUUACCUCUUGCCACACAGUAAGCUGCUCCGCAGCUCAGUGACUCCCAGCAAGGUUGAACAGCCUUUUCUGGAAAGAGCCAGAUGGAAAUAUUUUCAGCUUUGUGGGCCGCAUGGUCUCUACCCCAACUCUGCAGCUCUCCCACUGUUGGGCUGAAGCAGCCCCAGGCAAUCCAGAAAUGCAUGGACAUGGCCGCGUUCCAGUCAAACUUUAUUUAUGGACCUUGCCAUUUGAAUCUCAUAUACUUUUUGCCUGUCGUGGCAUCUUCGGGCGUUUCUUCCUACCCUUUAAAAUUCAAGAUCCAUGUGUAGCUGGCUGGUGGGUGAGUUAGGUGGCAGCUGCAUUUGGGGUCACAAGCUGUAGGUCAGGGCCUUCCGGCCUAAAAGGACCGUCAUCACCACUUGGUCACCUUCAGGUUGCUGUGUGGAGUCGGGUGGGGUAGGGAUGUGGGGGCCGAGGUGAGCUUGGCCCGGUGACUUCGCUUUGGGCUCUGGAUCCAGCCGGUCUUGACUUCUCACCAGGGGAAGGGUAGUGUUCUCAUCUGCACGUUCCUUCUGGGGCUCGGGCUUCGUGGCAGCAGCUUCUAGGGGAGGCCCUUUUCCGGGCCAUGGCACAGACACAAGGGAGCGAGCCUAGUUACCCAAGCGCAUUUGGUGCCUCAUGCAGCCUCACAGUCCACUGGUCAGAGUAAAAGGCACGUGGUAGAAUCCACACUCAGCAGGCAGAAAACACACUCUCCUGGGAGGAACCCCACGCACAUACUGUGUGAAUUCCGGAAACUGAAGAACUGGGGCCCUUCCUUUACUGCAAGGUGUAAUGAUCGCCCUCCUAUUUUACCUCCAGCUUUAGUGGAGACAGAAAAGAAAGGGAUAAAUAAUCUGUCUUCGAUUCUUUCCGGAGAGAAUAGCUUCCUGUGACUAUGCCUCUUAAUCAUGUGCAGGAAAAUACCAUUUAUAAUUUUGCCCUCAUUCGAUAUCUCUUUUACUGGAAAGUACACAUUGCACAUUGUGGAUACGCUAAAGGCCAACCAAAUGUUUUCUGUGAGAGGGUUUCAAGCCAUCGACUGCUGCCUGUGAACAGGCUUUGUUUAGCAUCCGAAGGUUUGUUCUCUGUUACCUGAGAGGUCCUCUUAUGUCGCACAGGGGGAGAGGAGAGGAGUUUAUUCCUGGAAGCGGGGCCCGUGAAACCAUGGACUCUUUCCCACAGUGGCUGCAGCCACAUCACUGAUGAAGGCCUGUUUCACACAGCCUUUGUUUUUGUUUUGUUUUUUUUUUUUUGUUUUUUUGCCUUUAGCUACAUUCCUUCUACUUCACCAUUUGUUGAUGCAACUUUUAACACAGGACAAAGUGUCUUAUGUUUUUCUAACCGUUCUUACUUUCUGGAUUUCUUUUCUGAUAACCUUCUGGAUUUUAGACUUACGACUUUAAAUUCCUGAAUAGAACAUUUCUCAAAACAGCACCACUUUUUUUUUUUAGCAUGCACCCUGAAUUUUAAAAAUAAUAAAUCAGUGAGUAAUCAUCUCCCUGCAGCAAAACACCAGAGAGAUCUGAGAGUGGGCACCGUCCACCUGCCAGUCUGGGAGGGCUGCUUAGCUUUGUAAGACCUCAGUGUUUGUCUUUUUUUUUUAAAAAAAAAAAGUCACUCCCAACUUGGAAAUUAUGUGAUUCUUAAGUGCCACAAAAAGCACAAAACUGGAUAGAUGUCUCCCCCAGACUCAUAUAUGGAAGCUGUAACUCUCAGUGUGACUGUGUUUGGAGUAAGGAAGUAAUUAAGGCUAAAUAAGUUCAUAAGGGUGGGGGCUGAUCUGAUAAGAAUAGUGUCCCUUAGGACAAACAUCGGAGAGCUUGCUCUCUCAUUCUCCCUGUGCACACGCAGAGGACAGGGGACAUUGCCCUAACUUUACAUUCUCGUAUUUAAUUACGUGAAAGCAUCUAUGAAUCCCUUCAUGAACAUCCUACUGGGUAUGCGCCAGUCAAAACAAAUCCAGUGGAAAGUAUACUUUCCCUUUGAGCCAGGUGAUAUUUAUAGCUAACGUAAGACUUCUUGUGAUCCGUUUAGUAGUCAAACCUUCAAGAGAGGCAGCGUGGUGGUCGAGAGGGGACACCCUGGAGCCAGAGCCUGGGCUAGUUAGAUCCUUGCUCUCCUUCCCACUGGCUGCGUGAGUUGACAAGUUGCCCGAAUGCUCUGUGCUUGGUCUGUGAACGGGGGAAAGUAAUGACAUCUAUCUCAGAAGUUUGCUCUGAGGAUUAAAUGAAUUAAUAUUUGUAAAUUAUCUAGCAAACCGUAUUACAGUUAGCAUGAUCUCAGUGUUUGAUAAAUAGAAUAAAAGUAAGCAUAGAGAGCCAUGAAAUAUAUUCAUCUAU